rnacentral:rRNA from 1 species
AUUGAACGCUGGCGGCAUGCUUUACACAUGCAAGUCGAACGGUAACAGGCCGCAAGGUGCUGACGAGUGGCGAACGGGUGAGUAAUGCAUCGGAACGUGCCCAGUCGUGGGGGAUAACGCAGCGAAAGCUGCGCUAAUACCGCAUACGAUCUAUGGAUGAAAGCGGGGGACCGUAAGGCCUCGCGAGAUUGGAGCGGCCGAUGUCAGAUUAGGUAGUUGGUGGGGUAAAGGCUCACCAAGCCAACGAUCUGUAGCUGGUCUGAGAGGACGACCAGCCACACUGGGACUGAGACACGGCCCAGACUCCUACGGGAGGCAGCAGUGGGGAAUUUUGGACAAUGGGCGCAAGCCUGAUCCAGCAAUGCCGCGUGCAGGAAGAAGGCCUUCGGGUUGUAAACUGCUUUUGUACGGAACGAAACGGUCCUGGUUAAUACCUGGGGCUAAUGACGGUACCGUAAGAAUAAGCACCGGCUAACUACGUGCCAGCAGCCGCCGUAAGAC